rnacentral:lncRNA from 1 species
GUGAGGCAGGGGGUGCAUCGCACACGCCCCGGUGACAAANNNNNNNNNNGGAAGAGGGGGGGCGGGGGGGGGGGACAAUCAGGUCACCGCGGUACAGCUUCCCCCAGGCCCUCUCCUAAGAGACACCCCCCCACCCCCACCCCGAGGAAGCCUCGGGAAACCUACACAUCUAGGUUGUCCCAGUUUCCCAGAGGGACCUUCCUUGCAGAGAAGGGGGUUGGCCUCUCGGCUCCGAAAGAGGGGCCGCAGCAGCAGCAGCCCGUUCCCCAGCUUGGGAGCAGCCCCCGCGGAGGAGGCCCCGUCUUCUCUUCUCGCCCAGCGUGGCCACCGGGCUGGGCGAGCCACAGCGUGUCCCCGUGGGACCUGGGUGUGCCGAGGGCUGCCCGGCUCCUGCUUUGCCCGUUCGGCUCCAGCCCUCUUGGGGGCCUCUGGCCGGCGGUUUCCUCGCCUCCGUUUGAAACGCUCAGCCUUGCUGAGGUUGGGAAGGGGCCGCUCUUCCCCAAAGGAGCAUCCGUCUCUGGCACCUUCAGCAGGGAAGAGGAGGAGGCGGCACCAGAAGCCGCUGCCGCGUCGGCAACGCCCCAAAGGCCUGCUCCCGUCAGCAAGCAGUUGGGCGGCAGGGCUGUCCGCGGAGCCGGCGGUGCCAACAAACCAACCAGCCUAGCCGGUCCUGCUUGGCCACCCGGAGCAGAUCAAAGGUCCGGGCUCUGCUUUGACCUCCUUGGCUGCGCUGAGGAGUGCCUUGGCGGAGACGCCUUCUUGCUUAUUCAGGCCAAUGCAGAGUCAGGCCCCGGAGAAAAGUCAUCGGGUGCCCAGCCCCUCCCACGGCCUGGGAUGCAUCCUGGCUCGCCACUUGUCUGGGGUUGGGCCACAAGUGCUGUGUGUGUGUGUGGGGGGGAGAUGGGGGACCCUCCCACUGCCCAGGUCCGUGUGAAGAGGUUGCCCACCCCUGGAAGUGGCUGUUUUGCUGCCAGCUGGGGCGAACGACCCCCCCCCCCCCACGAUCACACAAGAAUGAAAUGGGAAGAGGAUUUCCAAGGCCACCCGUGUGGACGGGUGGCUUCAGGGCUGAUGGACACCCGCCCCCCGCUGUCUUGGGGUGGGAGGUUGCCCCCCCAAACCUCCAGAGCUGUUGGCCCCGGGGCAGCAGGAGGAGUGCCUCCCAUCCGGGGUGUCUCAGGCUCCUGGUGGGUGGAGUUCAUCUUUAGCAACUCAGGCGUUUCUCUGGAAGGGAAAAAAGCGGUGGUGCUAAAGGAGCUUUGA